rnacentral:rRNA from 1 species
AGAAUCAACGCUGGCGGCGUGCCUAACACAUGCAAGUCGCGACGAGAAAGGGGAGCAAUCCCUGAGUAAAGUGGCGCACGGGUGAGUAACACGUGAAUCAUCUACCUCCGAGUGGGGAAUAACCUAGAGAAAUCUGGGCUAAUAACCGCAUAACGCUUACGAGUCAAAGCAGCAAUGCGCUUGGAGAGGAGUUCGCGGCCGAUUAGUUAGUUGGCGGGGUAAUGGCCCACCAAGACGAUGAUCGGUA